CCAGGCUGUGGGCGACGUCGGGCAACGCCGGCGCCUCGCUGUCGCCGGCGGUCAGUGCCGACGCCAGUUCCUUGCGUCCCUGUUGCAGCGCCUCGG
rnacentral:tRNA from 1 species